rnacentral:tRNA from 1 species
UAGUUCAGCUGGUUAGAAUGCCUGCCUGUCACGCAGGAGGUCGCGGGUUCGAGUCCCG